AAAUAUUUUAGAAACGUACGUUUCAUGGCCACUCACUUCUCUUUCGCCUUACCAGAACCAUGACUUGUCUGCAAUCACCGUGGCUCUCUUCUUUCUCCACCAUUAAAACCGUCUCCUCCACCAAGCCAAAGCUCUCCUCUUUCAAACUAUCCUUCUCUUUGAAGUCGUCAUCCAACAAUGCUGAACAAUCUUCUUCACAACCCACUUCUGACAACUUAACAGAACCUCCACUGGACCCUGUAAAGCUAGCUUUUGAAAAAGCAAAGGCCUAUAAGAAGACUAUACGGUCUGUCCCGCAUUCUAAAACUGAGCAAAACCCGGAUAAGGAUUUGGCCUCGAAUGGUGAUGGUGGUAAAAAUAUUCCAGCUUCAGUUAAGGCUGCAAUGGAGAAAGCAGAGGAAUACAAGGGGAACAAAAGGAUUGUUGAGAAUGGAACAAGUUCAGGCUUGAAGGGAGCAGUUAAGGGCAAUAUGCCAAAUGAAAUUGUGGAGAAGAGGGUUAGUAAGGAGGGAGAACUGAGGGUCUCAAGCAUUGAUUUUAUGGGUCUGAACUUUGCCGAUAAGAAAGAGGGUAGAGCCCUGCCUGCUGGAUUAGUUCCAGUGUCUGAUCCUCUUCCAGAAGGUGACAUUCCUGAGGUGGAGAUAAUUGUUGGAGACGCCAGUAAGUUUGGGGAAACAACAGUGUCGAAGACUGAGCUAAUUCAACAAGAUAAUUCUGAUCUUUACAAGCCAAGGGUUUCUACAUGGGGAGUUUUUCCUAGGCCUGGGAAUAUUUCCAAUACAGGAAUCUUGUCUUAUAACAUUCUUACUUUUUGUGUUAAGUUUGGAGGUGGAAGAACUAUUCGCCCUGGAGAUGUUCUUGAAACAGCAGAAGAUAGAGCUGCUAAAGACAAACGCACUAGAGAGCUCCUUGCUGCCUACAAGAAAAAGGUUGGCUUAAGUGUUGAUCCGAAGCUAAAAUCUGAGUGUGAGAAGGCAUUGAAGGAUGGUGACUCCUUGAUGAAUUCAGGGAAGCUUAAGGAAGCUUUGCCUUACUAUGAAAAGGUUAUGAAUAAAAUGACAUUCAAGAGUGAACUUCAUGGAUUAGCUGCUUUGCAGUGGUCUGUUUGUCAGGAUUCUCUUCGUAGGAUAAAAGUUGAUAAAGCAGAGACCAUUGCCUCCAAGAGUUAACUUAAUAGAGCCGAGAGUUGAGCUGUGGGUUCUGGAAAAAAAAAACAAAAAGUAGAUGCCUGUACCUGAGAAUUCAUAUAUGGAUAUGGCCAAAAGAGGCUCGAAUUAUGUAUGAGAAGCUUCAGUCUCACCCCAAUGCCAUGGUGAGAAGGAGGGCCCAGCAAUUUUUGUUCAGCUUUCAGGCCAUGGAAAUGAUGAAGGUCACAAGUUCAAAUCUCUCUCAAUACACAGGGUACCAGAACUAUUUUGAGGCUUUUAUUGAAGAUAAAUCCAACUGCCUUCUCCAAGAGGCUGGCAUCGAAGAAGGUGCACUGAGUGAAGCCCUCCCAUACAUUUUUUUUCUUGUUUCUCCCAUUUUAAUAGUACUCUUUAUUGCUGUACAGAAAGGAAGUAUGAAUUAGAAAUUUAGAAUUUCCAACUA